rfam:Medicago truncatula strain A17 chromosome 7, whole genome shotgun sequence.
ACGACCUUACUUGAACAGGAUCUGUUCUAUAGGAUCGUACUACUGUGUCCUUGAUUUCUAAGGAGACAGGAACAUAAAUCUGGAUGAGGAUUUGUGACCGUGUGAUCAGAGCGUGAUUAACGGUUCUGUGGUGAGACCCACGGGAAUCAUCAUGAGUUGACUGUAGAUGAUCGUUCUCAGCCAGUCUGGUUGGGGUGGUCACACGGCUGUCUUGACAGAUU